GUCUAGAGCGGCAAAGCUUUGAGGAAUUGGAUUUUUCAUCGGUUUCACUCCAUCCCCAAAAUAACUACAAUAAUGAAAAUCAUUUUCGUACCUUGCUUGCAGGACAAUUACACUACUUAAUUCUUGACGAGAUCACCAGUGAUCCGGCAGUUGUGGAUCCAGUAGAACCGGAGUAGGUUAUCAAUGCUGCCAAGCAUCGUGGGGCGCAACUCAAGCUCGUUCUUACUACUCAUCACCACCGGGCUUCAGCCAUAUUUCCCCUAGAUGGAAGUGUUGCUCUAGUUUAUCUUGGUGUAAGAAGAAAGGAGUCUAUACUUGAUGGUGCAUUUAUCUGAUAUUGUUGUUAGUUGUUACUGUAUGCUGUUGAAGGAAAAUGGAGGUGCCCAUGGAGGUGCUACUUCUUCCACUUUUCAUGUUCCGACAGAGGUAAUUGAUGUUACAUGUUUAUUAUCUACCCUUUCCCCAUUUUCUUUUUGGGACUACGCUCAUCCCAUAGAUUGGUUGUCAAACAAAGUAUGCAAACUGAACAAUUUGCUUCAACCCCUGAUGCCCUAAUUUUUCUCUUUAUAAUAUUGUAGCCCAAAUCAAAAUCAAAAUAACUGUAGAAUUUAAUUCAAAAUUGUUAAUAAGUUUGGGAAUCUAAUGUUAGAAGAUAAAAUAUAAAAAAGUUUCUAUGCAGAUACAUAACAAUAUACAGU